rnacentral:pre_miRNA from 1 species
AAUGCAUGACUCUUCAGUCUCAGGACUUGCAAAAUUAUUGGAAUGCCGUCCUAAGGUUAUGGAGUUCUGUGUU